rnacentral:rRNA from 1 species
CAACGGUCAAACUACCCUGAACAUACAUGACAUCACACAGUCUCAGAAGCGAAGCAGGGUUAGGCCUGGUUAGUUUUGAAUGAGAGAAAAUGAAACCUCUAGAUAUACCAUGGC